rnacentral:sRNA from 2 species
UAGCUGGUUUUCUAGGGUUCCGUGGCUUAUUGCCAGUCUGGUCCGAGAGAAAACACACACUGUACGGUGUGGACACGGAAGGAUAAAAGCCUGGGAGAU